AAAUAAAUAAGUAAAAUAUAAUAGAAAAUUUUUGGACUUGGGCCUCUCUCAUUUGAGCCCACAGGUCCACAAAAAUCAGGUUAUAAAUUCAGAGUUUCAGUGAAACAAAAGGCAAUUCUAUUCCUAUUACCCUGGUAGGGAAAAAGAUAGUGAGAGAAGAGCUAACAGAGUUCAGAGCAACCUCCAGAGACUGAAGGGAACUCAUCGGCAAAGAGCCAAUUCCAUCUCAUAUAAACCCUCAGAUUGCUUUGCA
rnacentral:lncRNA from 1 species